rnacentral:rRNA from 1 species
UACGAAGGGGGCUAGCGUUGUUCGGAAUUACUGGGCGUAAAGCGCACGUAGGCGGUCUUUUAAGUCGGGGGUGAAAUCCUGGAGCUCAACUCCAGAACUGCCUUCGAUACUGGAAGACUUGAGUCUGGGAGAGGUGAGUGGAACUGCGAGUGUAGAGGUGAAAUUCGUAGAUAUUCGCAAGAACACCAGUGGCGAAGGCGGCUCACUGGCCCGGUACUGACGCUGAGGUGCGAAAGCGUGGGGAGCAAACAGG